rnacentral:rRNA from 1 species
CACGUAGGGUGCGAGCGUUGUCCGGAAUCAUUGGGCGUAAAGAGCUCGUAGGCGGUGUGUCGCGUCGGCCGUGAAAACCUGCAGCUUAACUGUGGGCUUGCGGUCGAUACGGGCAUCACUGGAGUUCGGCAGGGGAGACUGGAAUUCCUGGUGUAGCGGUGAAAUGCGCAGAUAUCGGGAGGAACACCAGUAGCGAAGGCGACACUCUGGGCCGGUACUGACGCUGAGGAGCGAAAGCGUGGGGAGCAAACAGG